UACGAAGGGCGCAAGCGUUGCUCGGAAUCAUUGGGCGUAAAGCGCACGUAGGCGGCCUCAUAAGUCGGACGUGAAAUCCCUCGGCUCAACCGGGGAAGUGCAUCCGAAACUGCGAGGCUCGAGUAUGGAAGAGGGUCGCAGAAUUCCCGGUGUAGAGGUGAAAUUCGUAGAUAUCGGGAGGAAUACCAGUGGCGAAGGCGGCGACCUGGGCCAAUACUGACGCUGAGGUGCGAAAGCGUGGGGAGCAAACAGG
rnacentral:rRNA from 1 species